rnacentral:rRNA from 1 species
UGCCAGCCGCCGCGGUAAUACGAAGGGACCUAGCGUAGUUCGGAAUUACUGGGCUUAAAGAGUUCGUAGGUGGUUGAAAUAGUUAGUGGUGAAAUCCCAGAGCUUAACUCUCGAACUGCCAUUAAAACUUUUCAGCUAGAGUAUGAUAGAGGAAAGCAGAAUUUCUAGUGUAGAGGUGAAAUUCGUAGAUAUUAGAAAGAAUACCAAUUGCGAAGGCAGCUUUCUGGAUCAUUACUGACACUGAGGGACGAAAGCGUGGGUAGCGAACAGGAUUAGAUA